CCCUUAGAUGUUCUGGGCCGCACGCGCGCUACACUGUUCGACGCAGCGAGUCUUAACCUUGACCGAAGGGUUUGGGUAAUCUUCAGCAAAGUCGAACGUGAUGGGGAUCGAUCAUUGCAAUUAUUGAUCGUGAACGAGGAAUUCCUAGUAAGUGCAAGUCAUCAGCUUGCGCUGAUUACGUCCCUGCCCUUUGUACACACCGCCCGUCGCUACUACCGAUUGAAUGGUUUAGUGAGAUCUCUGGAUUGACGCUGGCUAGGGGGCGACCCUUGGCCAGACUGCUCGAGAAACUGCUCAAACUUGAUCAUUUAGAGGAAGUAAAAGUCGUAACA
rnacentral:rRNA from 1 species